AGGGGCCGGGCGGGCGCCAUGGCGGCGGCGGCGGCGCUGCCGAGCUCGGGGGUGGCGUUCCGGCGGGUGCUGGCGCACUUCCCUCAGGAGCUCAGCCUGGCCUUCGCCUACGGCUCCGGAGUCUUCCGGCAGGCGGGGGUCUCGGCCGGGCACAGCGAGAACAACAUGUUGGACUUCGUAUUUGCUGUUGAUGAUUCAGUUACGUGGCAUAUGAUGAACUUGUUAAAGAACAGGAGUCAUUAUUCCUUCCUAAAAGUUUUUGGGCCAAAACAGAUAAGUAAUAUACAGAGCUACGGAGCAGGGAUUUACUACAAUACUUUAGUGCCAUGUAAUGGUAGGGUGAUAAAAUAUGGUGUAAUUAGCACUGAUGCCCUGAUUGAUGACUUAUUUCACUGGAAAACCCUCUAUGUUGCUGGACGCCUACAAAAACCGGUGAAAAUAUUGACACAAAAUGAGAAUGGCAAGCUGCAAGCUGCUCUUGUUAGCAAUCUGAAGAGCGCAGUCACAGCAGCCUUUCUCAUGCUACCAGAAAGCUUCUCUGAAGAAGACCUCUAUAUGCAAAUUGCAGGACUCUCCUAUUCUGGUGAUUUCAGAAUGAUAAUAGGAGAAGACAAAUCAAAGGUGCAGAACAUAGUGAAACCUAGUGUUCCUCAUUUUCAGAAGCUGUACAGUAACAUAUUACAGGACUGCCCUCAAGUGGUAUAUAAGCACCGUCUGGGAAGGUUAGAGAUUGAUAAAAGUCCAGAAGGUCAAUUCACACAACUAAUGGCUUUGCCAAGGACUCUACAGCAAAAGAUAACUUCUCUGGUAGACCCCCCUGGAAAAAACAGAGACGUGGAAGAAAUUUUAAUGCAAGUUGCUCAUGACCCUGAUUGUGGAUUUGUGGUACACCAAGGCAUUUCAGGAAUUGUGAGAUCUUCCAGUCUAGUGCAGAGCGCUAAAACAGUACUAACAGCUGGAGCAAAAAAAUCUGUAACUUACAGUAUGAAGAAAUUAUAUAAAAUGACAAAGGGAUGGUUAAGGAAGACAUCCUGAAUCUUGACAUACUGUAUAUGGGUGUAUUCAUUGGAAAAUUCGUAAGAACAGAGAACACUGAUCCGUAUGGUAGAAAUAGUCCCAGACAGAUGCAAGGCUUUUGGACUAGUGAACAGCAUGAGAAACAAUUCAGGGUGGAGGCAUGAUCUUCUGAAUGAAAUAGUUAUCAGAAUUCCAUGAGGAAUCCAAGCUGCUGUACAGAAAUGUAGGAGCCCUGGGAGCAUGGGGGCAUGGAGAACAUCUGUAGUGCACAAAUGAAGCAAAAACCGAUCCCCAGAAUGAAUAAGUAAUUUGACCAAAUCCAAAAAAGCAGUCUGUGGUGAAACUAGAUGCUGCUGCCUUUCAAGGAGCUCAUUCUUUCCUGCUGUAGUAUUGCAGUUUUGUGAGAUUUUUACAUCAUGAGCCAUCCUGGGAAUUAAUAUGAUUGAACAAAUCCUUACUGACCAACCUGUACUUUUUUUUAUGAAAAGGUGAGGACAGAGGCUUUUAAAACCUGGUUAAAUAACAGCACCACAGGAUGUGAAACCACUAGCUCAUAAACUGCAACUGCUUCAAGUCCUGGUUGGGAGAGAUCAUAUGUCACAAGAUUACCUAACAUCUGGUUGAGGAUUCUUACUUGCAAAGCAUUUAAUCAUAUGCUUGACUUAAAAUGCAUACAUACUUGCCAUUGUGGAAUAGGUAUUUAAUUCCCCUUUGAAACUAACACAAAUGUAUAGAUUGGACUUGAAUCUACAGAAGUAAAGCAGUUAAAUCUGUGAUGUAUCAAUACAGUUCGAUGCUCUUGAACCCCCUGUGGGAUAUGGCUGCAGUGUAAGUGAAGAUUGGAUUGUACAACCCAUUCCCUUUAGUGGUUUUUAUUUGCUACUUCGAGGUUGUGGCUGUUUUCCCUUUUAUUGAAAUAGGCUACCUUAGAUGCAUGUGUGCCAGACCUUAAAUAGAAAAUGCCAUGAUGGCAUUUUGCAUCUUAAGAGCCUCACUGUUUGUUCUUCUGUUAAAUUUGUCACUGCUGGGAAAUCGCAAAAUGAGCAAAAAUUAAAUUGUGGGUUUUUUUAAAUGGUGAAAUUCAAUUGUAAUUCUAGGGAAGCUUUUAAAACAACUUUCUUUUAAAAGCCAUUGGCAAUAUAAUUAUUGUUCUGAAUUUUAAACUAAGAUUAAAGUGUUUUUGAUGUUUCUGAAGCUGAAAUGAACACUGAAAUGGUGUUUUGUUAGAAGUCAACUAGUCAAUCUGAUAUGUGGGACUAUGUUGAGCUCAGAUCCUAUAGUGAAACGGUGAUCUUCAUUCUGAACCUUGCCAGCUAAGCAAGGGCACUUAUUUAAUAAAUAAUGCCCUGUUUGGAAAAAAUAGGAAAGUACUGCUUGCUGCUUUACAGCUAAUUAAACAUUUUUAUGUGCAGCGGAUGCUGUACAGUGUCAAACCCAACCUUUAAACUGCUUGUCACACUGCCAGUGAAUUGGUCUUUCACUUUACAGGUGUUACUUUACUGCAGACUUUGUCUGUAAUGUGAACUGGCUGCGUUUGUCUUACAUGGCUAAAGUAUCCAUUGCGUAUCUUGAUUUGGCUUUGUGCACUUUCUUUGUGUAUAGCAUUAGAAUGGGUCGAUUCUUGUUCUUCUGAGGGAGUUUUGCAAAUCCCAGUUUAAUAGUUGCUAGUUUACUCCAUCUGUUGAUACAUUGCCAAUGUUCAAGUCCAUGCAGUAAAUCUUUGUGAGACUUGAGAAAGUUCUUCCUCAUCAUUUGUAUAGGCUGAAAUCUUAAACUGUAUUCUGUUCUGUAAAUCAUUUAUCUCUGUACUUUUUGAAAAAUGGCUUACCUUUCCCCUUGAGGCCAUUGGUCUUGAAUGUAUUUAUUUUUUGGCAGAGAGCCAUGAAUGAAUCAUAGCCUCGAGCAGCUUACAGUCUGAACUCCUCUCCAUUGUUAGUAUAAAACACUUUAUGCAGUUGUUACAGCAUUUUGCUAUGUAAAACUUUUAAGAGAAGAGAGAUUGAUUUCAGACAUGUUGGUUGCUUUUGAAGUUCCCCAACAGUAUGUGGAAAUGAUUUCUUCUGGUCAUACUGCUGUAAUCCACUGAAAUAACUGGUGAUUGCUGCAUGGGAAGUUAGUGCAUUAGAGUAUGUUACUAACUUUUUGUUGUGAUGAGAUGUGCUGCUGCUUUCACAAAACCAGCCACAUUAGCUGUUAAUUCUACUUGUAGCUUUCUUGCUUAUUACCCUCCUGCUCCAUUUCCAUAUUCAUUUAUUGCUUUGGCUGUUCCUGUUCUUGACUUAAUUUUCAGGUCUUUCAUACCAGUCUUAAGACACUACUCUCUCCUGCUUUGGACAUUUCAGGGCUCCAUCAGCCUUCUUCCCUUCCCCCUCCUCCACCCCCCCGCCCUGGUGUAACAGUGCUUUCAUUAAGGGCAGCUAGGCAGAUGAUUUAUUUCUUGAUGCUUUAAAAGGCUUCUUUGUAAUGAAGAGCCUGGACACAUUCAAAGUACUAAAGAUUUCUGUAAGAUAGUCAGUAGCAUGGGCCUAGCUGGCUCUGAGAUCUGCAAAGCCACUGAAGUAUAACUGUUAGCGCAAGCUUCAGAGAGAGUCAACUAGCCAACACCCGAUGAAUGGAAAAUCAAAAUUUGACUAGAUAUAUAAUGCAUAGAUUUUGGUUUCAAUUACUCUGUGCAGUGUUUAAUCCCUGUAUUGAGUCCCUUUAUUAACUUGCAUAUAUGUGUGAGCCAUGAAUUUGAUUAGUAUCAUAAUGUGCAGCUACUUCUAAAAUUAAGGUUUGAGAGUUUGUAAAACCGAUCAUGAUGCCACACAGGAUGCUGACUUCGUCCGUCAGCCUGUGUGAGGUGUGUUCUUUACCGCUUGCUCACUUCCCCCUUUUUUCCAAGUAUUUGAGCAGUGGGUUCCUCCAGGUGGUUGGCUAUAUGACCCUUUGAAUAUCUGCCACACUGACUGAUUCAACUGCAGAGUCUGUAUUUCUGACCUGUGCUUCUGCGGAGUCUGUAUUUCUCACCUGUGCUUCAGUGAGAUUUCUCGCUGGAUUUGAUUGACCUUGUAUGUCUGUGAAUUGGACUAACAGAUGGCGUGUAACAGCUGCAACAUUAUCAUAAACAAGGUGCCUGUAGGUAGCACACAGCUGAACUUUCUGUGGACUAUAGUAUCCCAUAGUUUCCUGAUGUUUGAAACAAAUACCUAUGCCAAAUUGGGGAAAUAAAGAUGGAUAUGGAGGCUACUAGUUGUGAGUGGCUUAGGGAACUGAACUGUGAGGUUCAAAUACUUUAAACUGGUUGAAGAGGCAAUGUUAGAGCCUGUCCCGACUUGGGAAACUGUAUAACAAACAUCGCACUUGGUGAGUAUCCAGUAAGGGGGAGUGUCCAACUACAGCUGUGACUCAUACCUUUCCCCAGCAAUUAGUUUAAAAAUAGAAUUGCAAUUGAAAUACACUUUGAAGGUUAGAAUGUCAGAUCAUAGUGUGUGUGUGGUGUGUCUUAGUUUCUAAUGGGUAAGGUGUUCAUAGAGGGCAAAGCAUUCUUAGUUUGCAAGGUCACUUCUACUGGACAUGUUUUCCUAAUAUAUAGAAGAUGAACUUUCUUUUUUAUUAGCGCUGUAAUAAGAGACAUUACAUUAAUAUACUUUUAUUUCUGAUUAUAGAUAUAUAGCCACCGUGUCGCUUUUCAAUACUUCGAUACAAUUUUGUAGUGACCUGAUUUACCAAUCUUCCUCUGCUCUGGAACAAAACAAGUAAAAAGUACCUGUGGUUAAGUGUUCUGAAACAACAGUUAGUGGUGUUCGUAUUUCUGUUUGACUCUGAAGGUAUCUCAUUGUUUGCUUGAAGAUUAUACUGCUGGUAUGUCUGAUCCAACUGAAAUUAUUCUGUCUCUUUUAAUCUUCUGUUGGAUGAUGGGGCAGACAAUUACGAAGAGGGCAAGCUUUGUCUUGAAGCAGGUAAUAAAUUAACCAGCUCUAUCAGCUUACAGUUUGGAUCAACUUGUCUGUCUGGAAUUGCUGCAAUUUAACAUAUUAUGGUCUAAUGAAAUAAACUACCUUAAAAAAAAAAAAAAAAAAAAAAAACUUAAAGUGUCUUUUUAAAUCUUAUGAACUACUGCAGUGUUGUGAGUUUGGGUGUGCUUCUGUGCAAGAUAGCUUUGAGGUGCAGUGCAAAUUAAUCUAGAUUCUUACAGUGAAGACGGUUUAGAUUCAGAGUUCAGCAGUGUUAACAUUAAGUAAAAAAUAUUUGCUUAUGAGGUUAUGUACUUUGUUUCCAAUAAAAUAUAUUUGGAGAUACGAUUUUAAAAACUGAUAUCAUUUAUAAAAAUGUAAUCUAUUUACUGAAAGAAGAUGUGGAUACAGAGAUGCGUUAUAACUAUA